rnacentral:lncRNA from 1 species
GUAAUCCCGUGUCCCUUGCCAAUAAUUGAUUCAGGAAUGGACAUAUGAAUUAAUCUGGGCCAACGAUAAGUGAGGAGAUGUUUGCUAAGGACUUCUAAGGACAGUUUUCCUAGUUUGCAGGAUAAAGCUGCGGAAAGAAAUGGCCUUUUCAUCUGGCAUUGUUGUUUAUGGCUUUGAGCCCCAGAACUAUAGCAGCCAUUUAAUUGUCAGGCUGAAGAUGGAGCCAAAGUUUGGUGAGGGGCAGAACCAAGAGAAUAUCAGAGAAAUAGAGUCUAGCCAGCUAGAUUGUGUCAACCCUGAAGACCACCUCACCUCUGGGCAUGGAGAUAACACGUCAAGCUUCUGCAGAAGGCUCCAUGUGUUCUACAGUUUUGACAUAAUGGGACUUCAUUUUCUGUCACAGAAAUAGAAUGUUCUACUGCAAAG